AACGAACGCUGGCGGCAUGCCUAACACAUGCAAGUCGAACGAAACCUUCGGGCCUACUGGCGCACGGGUGCGUAACGGGUGGGAACCUGCCCUUAGGUUCGGAAUAUCUCCCCGAAAGGCGUGCUAAUACCGGAUCAUGUCCUCGGUCCAACGAUUUAUAGCCUUUGGAUGGGCCCGCGUGGGAUUAGCUGGUUGGUAGGGUAAAAGGCUACCAAGGCGAGGACGCGUAGCUGGGAAGAGAGGCUGGGCAGCCACACUGGUAUUAAGACACGGCCCGGACUAUUAGGCGAGGCGGCAAUGGCGAAUAUAGGAAAGCGGGGGAAAGGCUGAUGGUGCUCGGACGCGUGAGCGCUGAAGGUCGGAGGGUUGUAAAGCUCUUUUACACGGGAUGAUAAUGACAUUACCGGCAGAAUAAGCACCGGCUAACUCCGUG
rnacentral:rRNA from 1 species